rnacentral:tRNA from 1 species
AGCAGUGUGGCCCAGUGGAUAGAACGCGGGCCUGGGUGUCAGACCAAUUUGGGUUCUAAUCCCAACUCUGCUA